CGCCACCAGCAAUGAGACGCUCAUCAGAUAUGGAUCCUCAACCUUGAAAUGUUCAUCUCCAUUACUGCUUUGAAAUAAUCAUUAAAACUAUACAUUUAACAAGAUCAGAGUCAUAUGGUGUGCAUCUGCCAGUACAGAUUGCCACCUUUGGACAGAUGAAAAUACUGAGGCAGAGAAAACAAUAAUACAAGAGGACAUCACCAAGGGAAUGAGCCUAGACCGAGAAAGGUACUACAAACUGGGUCUGAAGCACUGUGAACAGAGUGGAAGAAGGAGAGCAAAACAUAAAACCUGUUUCAGAGAAUG